GAUGAACGCUGACGGCGUGCCUAAUACAUGCAAGUCGAGCGAACGGACGAGAAGCUUGCUUUUCUGAUGUUAGCGGCGGACGGGUGAGUAACACGUGGAUAACCUACCUAUAAGACUGGGAUAACUUCGGGAAACCGGAGCUAAUACCGGAUAAUAUUUUGAACCGCAUGGUUCAAAAGUGAAAGACGGUCUUGCUGUCACUUAUAGAUGGAUCCGCGCUGCAUUAGCUAGUUGGUAAGGUAACGGCUUACCAAGGCAACGAUGCAUAACCGACCUGAGAGGGUGAUCGGCCACACUGGAACUGAGACACGGUCCAGACUCCUACGGGAGGCAGCAGUAGGGAAUCUUCCGCAAUGGGCGAAAGCCUGACGGAGCAACGCCGCGUGAGUGAUGAAGGUCUUCGGAUCGUAAAACUCUGUUAUUAGGGAAGAACAUAUGUGUAAGUAACUGUGCACAUCUUGACGGUACCUAAUCAGAAAGCCACGGCUAACUACGUG
rnacentral:rRNA from 1 species